AGGUCAGUCGACUGACUCCGUCACGGCUGCUUCUUUCAUGUGGGCCGGCCCCAAGCACUGUGACUGGCUGGUGGGUGGCCAGGACAGAGAGUGUGGCCAGUGAGAUUCAGGAUCCGCCAGGAUUUUUAACAGUGCCUAGAAUCCUUUCUGAACAGACUCUUGCUCUACAUGCGGGUACAGGGACUGAUGUCACACACAGACCGCAUAUGUUUAUUCAUGAGGUAGCCUAUGAUUUCCAGCCUCCUAGGAAGGAGUGGCAAUACGCUCAUUAGGGACCGGGUGAUGUAUGUAUUAAAACAAAGACUAGCUAUUCUUAACAUAAUUUUGUUAUGACCCCUAAAGAAAGAGUUGGUCAGGGAAGCUUUAUUUGAAUGUUGUGAGGUAGAGAUGUGAGAAAAGACUGUGAAAGAAUAAAUAGGACCUCAUCUAUGUAAUUUGGCAGAUGCUCUUAUUCACAACAACUCUCUUAUCUACAAUGACCUCAGUGCAUACAUUUUCAUACUUUUGUAUGAAAGCCAACUGAGCUAAACAUGACUGCUGUACAUGACUGUAGUAACUGUUCUGUGAUGUGCAGAGUGGGUUGAGACAGAAAGGGGAAAGUAAAACCAAGCAGGUUUCUAUCUUUAUGUAAGUUCACAGGGAAAGUCUUGAAAGUUCUUUGGGUUUCUGAAAAUGGUGUUGUUCUCUGUCAAAUAAACUGUCCCUCAUUCUUUCGAUCAAGCUUUAUUCUGUAAUACAGUAUAUUAUUUGUAUAUUCUUUUUGAACAAGACAUUUCUUAAAAGUACUAAGAAGCAGAGAAUAGUGUAAUUUACAGACGGGUGACAAGUUAAAGCAAAACCUUUUGUAAAGGGGGGGGUUUGUGCACUGCAGCUAUAAUAUAAUAACCCAGUAAAGCAUCAUGGCAUGUUAAUCUAAUUUGCACUUGUGACCACAACUUCCCAUAGAUUUAAAUGUGGAUGUAACUUUAAUCACUGUUCCUAUGGUGACACUGGCCAGUUGACCGGUCUUUGUGACUGAAGCUCCUGCCAUCCAUGCCCCACUAAGGAACCCUCUUUCAAAGUCACUUACAUCCUUUCCUCCUGCCACCUUGAUCCAAAAUCAAGGUCAACUGGGCCUGCUCCGUAUUUGUAUACAUGCCACAGUGCAUGAUGGGAUGUUAAGUCAUUAAUCUUAUCAUGUAGCACAUCUGCAUGGAAGAAUCUACAUUUGUUAUGUUAAGGUUAUGUUAUGUUAAAGUAAUGAAUUAGUGUAAGUUAAUGUUAAUGACUUGCCAUCAUACUAGCAAUCACAUAUUAAUGAACACUGAGACUGUAAAUAAUAUUUGAAAUAUAAUAAAUCAAUGUGCAGAAGUGAUAAUGAUAUUUUCAAUAUUAUUAAUUACUUCAUGACUUGUUAAGUGCAGUGAGUCUUGCUGUUUUUUGUAAAUAUUAUAUUGGUCCAUGGUCAAUUAAUUUGUUUCUCUGUAGCUUUAUCAUCAAUUAAAAAAAGGAAUGUAUA
ensembl:lncRNA